rnacentral:rRNA from 1 species
GAUGAACGCUAGCGGCAGGCCUAAUACAUGCAAGUCGAACGGUAAGGCCCUUUCGGGGUACACGAGUGGCGGACGGGUGCGUAACGCGUAUGCAACAUGCCUUCCAGCGGGGGAUAUACCAGGGAAACUUGGCGCAAUACCCCAUAGAAUUACGGGACCGCAUGGUCUUGUGAUUAAAACUCCGGUGCUGGGAGAUUGGCAUGCGUGACAUUAGCUAGUUGGCGGGGUAACGCCCACCAAGGCGACGGUGUCUAGCUGGUCUGAGAGGAUGAUCAGCCACACUGGGACUGAGACACGGCCCAGACUCCUACGGGAGGCAGCAGUGGGGAAUCUUAGACAAUGGGCGCAAGCCUGAUCUAGCCAUGCCGCGUGAGUGAUGAAGGCCUUAGGGUGUAAAGCUCUUUCAGAUGGGAAGAUAAUGACGGUACCAUCAGAAGAAGCCCCGGUCUAACUCCGUGCCAGCAGCCGCGGUAAAGUCAC